rfam:Myotis lucifugus cont2.44758, whole genome shotgun sequence.
GCCGGGGAGGCUCAGUGGUUGAGCGUCCACCUGUGAAGCAGGAGGUCACGGUUCCAUUCUGGUCCCGGCA